GAACCUGCCGCAGGUUCGGGUCGAACGCAGUGAGACAACGGAGCCGUUUACGGCGACGGCCCGAAGGGCGAGCAAAGCGAGUCAUCCUGCACGACCCACCA
rnacentral:sRNA from 2 species